CCACGGGAGGAGAAUUUCCCCGGGAGGAAGGUCAGCAGUUUUAAAUGCCACGGACAAAAAAAGAAGGAUGAGGCAGGAGCAAGAGGCCAUGGACUUGUUUGUCUGGAGUCGUCGUCAACCUAUGUCAUUACCAUGGUAGGGGCCAGAGUCACAAAGGCCAGGCAUUCCGGACGGGGAGAGGGAAGAGAAGGUAGCAGGUGUGAACAAGGAAGGACAGACUCUUUCCCAGAGAAAACGUCACUGGAGUUAGCCAACAUGAGGUCCCUGACGAGAGAGUGGUUUUAGUGAAAUGCUGAAGGUAGAACGUGGAUUCCAUAAAUUUAAGAAUAAAGUGGCAACAACUUAAAACAUGAAAGCAUUUCCAUAUGUUGUCUCAUUUGAUCCUUGAAAUAACCCCACAAAGGAGGCAUCAUCAUUAUUUUACACACGAGAAACAGGCUCGGAGAAGGUAAAUGGUUUACCUUAGCACACUCAGCAGAGAUGGAAAUGGAUAGGACCUUCGCCAAAGGCUGCACAGAUACGGAGAACAAGCCAGCCGCCUCCAGGGUCAACGACUGUGUACAUUUGGCUCUGCUACCAGGUGACCACACUAAUAACGUCACACCUCUCCAGCUCUACUACACUUGCUGUGUCCUUCUGAGAGUCAGAAAGGCUUAUACUGUGUUUCAACCUUCGGUUUCCCACCUCUAGAGAAGGUGUGGUUAUACAGGGAACAAUGACCUGUUUAAAACACUUCAUCAAGGUAGAUCUUUUCCUCUCACAGAAUAUAUCAGAAAAAUCUCUGUUAAAGCAGUCCCUGAGGGUUCAUCUUUAUGAGAUUUGCCUCUUGAACUUUACUCUUAAAUGGGAAUGAAAUAAAUGUACCCCCCUAAAUUUGGUUCUAUGGGGUUACUUA